AGAGAAACUGAAAAAGGAACAAGUUGGCAAUCAAGACAAACCUCGGCCUUUCUGUUUCAGAUAUGUGCAAGUCUUCAUCCAAUGCCACGUGUCGCACAAAGCAAAGACACUUUGUUUUCGAAUGAAUGCAGAGACAUCUAUCUUUACCUUGAAACAUAUGAUAAACGAGAAAAUCAGUGUCCAGCCUCAACAACAACGACUGUACAUCCGAAGGAACUUUCGUAACUUUGAGCUUUGUAACUUGCUGACACUUCAAGAUUGUGGAAUUCAUCAGGACGAGAACAUCUCACUCCGUCUGUCUACUGAUGGCCUACUGGGCGGUGGAC